GAUGAACGCUGGCGGCGUGCCUAAUACAUGCAAGUCGAGCGAACAGACGAGGAGCUUGCUCCUCUGACGUUAGCGGCGGACGGGUGAGUAACACGUGGAUAACCUACCUAUAAGACUGGGAUAACUUCGGGAAACCGGAGCUAAUACCGGAUAAUAUAUUGAAGCGCAUGGUUCAAUAGUGAAAGACGGUUUUGCUGUCACUUAUAGAUGGAUCCGCGCCGCAUUAGCUAGUUGGUAAGGUAACGGCCUACCAAGGCAACGAUGCGUAGCCGACCUGAGAGGGUGAUCGGCCACACGGGAACUGAGACACGGUCCAGACUCCUACGGGAGGCAGCAGUAGGGAAUCUUCCGCAAUGGGCGAAAGCCUGACGGAGCAACGCCGCGUGAGUGAUGAAGGUCUUCGGAUCGUAAAACUCUGUUAUUAGGGAAGAACAAAUGUGUAAGUAACUAUGCACGUCUUGACGGUACCUAAUCAGAAAGCCACGGCUAACUACGUG
rnacentral:rRNA from 1 species